UACGUAGGGAGUAAGUGUAGUUCUGAUUUAUUGGGCGUAAAGGUCGCGUAGUCGGCGCUGUAAGUCACUUGUGUAAUCUCUGAGCUUUAAUCAGAACGGCCAAGUGAUACUGCUGUGCUAGAGUGCGGAAGAGGCAACCGUAAUUCUUGGUGUAGCGGUUAAAUGCGUAGAUAUCAAGAGGAACACCUGAGGCGAAGGCUGGUUGCUGGGCCGACCCUGACGCUGAUGCGCUUAAGCCAGGUGAAUAAACGGG
rnacentral:rRNA from 1 species